rnacentral:rRNA from 1 species
CCGGUUUGAUCCUGCCAGUAGUCAUAUGCUUGUCUUAAAGAUUAAGCCAUGCAUGUGUACGUAUGAACGAAUUCAGACUGUGAAACUGCAAAUGGCUCAUUAAAUCAGUUAUAGUUUGUUUGAAGGUAACUACUACUCGGAUCACCGUAGUAAUUCUAGAGAUAAUAGGUGCAACAAACCCCGACUUCCGGAAGGGAUGCAUUUAUUAGAUAACAGGUCGACGCGGGCUCUGGCCGUUGCUCUGAUGAUUCAUGAUAACUCUACGGAUCGCAUGGCCUUAGUGCUGGGACGCAUCAUUCAAAUUUCUGCCCUAUAAACUUUCGAUGGUAGGAUAGUGCCCUACCAUGGUGGUACCGGGUGACGGAGAAUUAGGGUUCGAUUCCGGAGAGGGAGCCUGAGAAACGGCUACCACAUCCAAGGAAGGCAGCAGGCGCGCAAUUUACCCAAUCCUGACACGGGAGGUAGUGACAAUAAAUAACAUUACCGGGCUCUUUGAGUCUGGUAAUUGGAAUGAGUACAAUCUAAAUACCUUAACGAGGAUACAUUGGAGGGCAAGUCUGGGCCCAGCAGCCGCGGUAAUUUCAGCUCCAAUAGCGUAUAUUUAAGUUGUGCCAGUUAAAAAGCUCGUAGUUGAACCUUGGGAUGGGUCGCGCGGUGCGCCUUUGGUGAGCACCGGUCGGCUUGUCUCUUCUGUCGACGAUACGCUCCUGGCCUUAACUGCGCGGGUCGUGCCUCCGGCGCUGUUACUUUGAAGAAUUAGAGUGCUCAAAGCAAGCCUACGCUCUGUAUACAUUAGCAUGGAAUAACAUCAUAGGAUUUCGAUCCUAUUGUGUUGGCCUUCGGGAUUGGAGUAAUGAUUAACAGGGAACGUCGGGGGCAUUCGUAUUUCAUAGUCAGAGGUGAAAUUUUUAGAUUUAUGAAAGACGAACACCUGCGAAAGCAUUUGCCAAGGAUGUUUUCAUUAAUCACGACCGAAAGUUGGGGGCUCGAAGGCGAUCAGAUACCGUCCUAGUCUCACCCAUAAACGAUGCCGACCAGGGAUCAGCGGAUGUUGCUUUUUAGGACUCCGCUGGCACUUUAUGAGAAAUAACAGUUUUUGGGUUCCGGGGGAGUAUGGUCGCAAGCCUGAAACUUAAAGGAAUUUACGGAAGGCACCACAGGAGUGGAGCCUGCGGCUUAAUUUUGACUCAACACGGGGUAACUUACCAGGUCCAGACUUAGUAAGGAUUGACAGACGUAGAGCUCUUUCUUGAUUCUAUGGGUGGUGGUGCAUUGCCGUUCUUAGUUGGUGGAGCGAUUUGUCUGUUAAUUCCGUUAACGAACGAUACCUCAGCCUGCUAACUAGCUACGUGGAGGCAUCCCUUCAAGGCCGGCUUCUUAGAGGGACUAUGGCCGUUUAGGCAAGGAAGUUUGAGGCAAUACCAGGUCUGUGAUGCACUUAGAUGUUCUGGCCGCACGCGCGCUACACUGAUGUAUUGCACGAGUUCACACCUUGGCCGACAGGCCGGGUAAAUCUUUGAAAAUUCAUCGUGAUGGGGAUAGAUCAUUGCAAUUGUUGGUCUUCAACGAGGAAUUCCUAGUACGCGCGAGUCACCAGCUCGCGUUGACUACGUCCCUGCCCUUUUUACACACCCCCCGUCGCUCCUACCGAUUGAAAGAUCCGGUGAACGGUUCGGAUCGCGGCGACGUGGGUGGUUUCGCCGUCUGCGACGUCGCGAGAAGUCCACUAAACCUUAUCAUAUUUAGAGGAAGGAGAAGUCGUUACAAGGUUUCCGUAGGUGAACCUGCGGAAG